UACGGGGGGGGCAAGCGUUGUUCGGAAUUACUGGGCGUAAAGGGCUCGUAGGCGGCCAACUAAGUCAGACGUGAAAUCCCUCGGCUUAACCGGGGAACUGCAUCUGAUACUGGAUGGCUUGAGUUCGGGAGAGGGAUGUGGAAUUCCAGGUGUAGCGGUGAAAUGCGUAGAUAUCUGGAGGAACACCGGUGGCGAAGGCGGCAUCCUGGACCAACACUGACGCUGAUGAGCGAAAGCCAGGGGAGCAAACGGG
rnacentral:rRNA from 1 species